UACGGGGGGGGCAAGCGUUGUUCGGAAUUACUGGGCGUAAAGGGUCCGUAGGUGGCCCGCUAAGUCACACGUGAAAUCCCUCAGCUCAACUGGGGAACUGCGUCUGAGACUGGCCGGCUUGAGUGCAGGAGAGGAACGCGGAAUUCCAGGUGUAGCGGUGAAAUGCGUAGAUAUCUGGAGGAACACCGGUGGCGAAGGCGGCGUUCUGGACUGCUACUGACACUGAGGAACGAAAGCCAGGGGAGCAAACGGG
rnacentral:rRNA from 1 species